AGCUCCCUCGCGCGCCGCUCACUGAUGCCGGAGCCGGAAUAUGACGACAUCUUACGGCUCCGGUAUCAGUGUGGUGCGUGAGGGAGCU